AGAUGGCGACCGGCGCACGGGUGAGUAACACGUAUCCAACCUGCCGAUAACUCGGGGAUAGCCUUUCGAAGGAAAGAUUAAUACCCGAUGGUAUAAUCAGACCGCAUGGUUUGAUUAUUAAAGAAUUUCGGUUAUCGAUGGGGAUGCGUUCCAUUAGGCAGUUGGUGAGGUAACGGCUCACCAAACCUUCGAUGGAUAGGGGUUCUGAGAGGAAGGUCCCCCACAUUGGAACUGAGACACGGUCCAA
rnacentral:rRNA from 1 species